rnacentral:rRNA from 1 species
GUGCAGCAGGCGAGAAUCUUCGGCAAUGGACGCAAGUCUGACCGAGCGACGCCGCGUGCGGGAUGAAGGCCCUUGGGUUGUAAACCGCUGUCAGAGGGGAUGAAAUGCGAGAGGGCUAUCCCUCUCGUUUGACAGAGCCUCAGAGGAAGCACGGGCUAAGUACGUGCCAGCAGCCGCGGUAACACGUACUGUGCGAACGUUAUUCGGAAUCACUGGGCUUAAAGGGUGCGUAGGCGGUUUAGUAAGUAGGGUGUGAAAUGCCAGAGCUCAACUUUGGCACGGCGCUCUAAACUGCUAAACUUGAGUGAGAUAGGGGUGUACGGAACUUCCGGUGGAGCGGUGAAAUGCGUUGAUAUCGGAAGGAACACCGGUGGCGAAAGCGGUACACUGGGUCUUAACUGACGCUGAGGCACGAAAGCCAGGGUAGCGAACGGGAUUAGAUACCCCGGUAGU